GACCUGUGUUGUACAGGCCCACUGGGCAGUCCAUGUUGUGAACCUUGGAGCACCCUGAGGACUCAAACACACAGGAAUUCUGCUCAGAAAAAGACGUUUGUCAAAGGACCAUGAGAUUGUCUGUAAUCCUUCUGUUUCUCCAACUGUGGGGGAAUGUGGAAAUGUCUUCAUCACAGAAUGCAUGUUCGAAGCUUCCAGAUGUUCCUCAUGCCCAGGUGUCAGAUCAGCAACAGCAGUACCAAGAAGGAGACCUGAUACAGUUCACUUGUAAACCUGGUUAUACUGCAUCAGUUCCAGCCAUGAAAUAUUUAUGCAUGAGCGAGGGCUGGCGGGUAGUUCGUCAAGGAACAUGCUACUUUUCAGGUCCGAACUGUACCCCCCCACCUGCAGAUGCAGGUGUGAUAGUAAAGGUUU